GGGGCUGUAGCUCAGUUGGGAGAGCGUUUGACUGGCAGUCAAAAGGUCCGCGGUUCGAUCCCGCGUAGCUCCA
rnacentral:tRNA from 1 species